rnacentral:tRNA from 1 species
GGGACGGUAGCUCAGCCUGGGAGAGCGCUACGCUGAAGCAUUGCAUUAACAUUUCAGAACCGUAGAUGUCAGGAGUUCAAAUCUCCUCCGUCCCA